CAAAAAAACACAUCUGAAAUCUCAAAAGAUCACUGAAAAGAACCCUGUGUAUCUGUUUCGGAUAAUCAACACCUGUUUUCAACUCAGAAAAUAUGCUGCACAAAUCAGUCCAAAUAAAAAAAAUAGCGACUCCAAAGGAAUGCUACAGGAACUGGAAAAUAAUGCUGUAUCUAUUGUAGAAAAGAGCAUGAAAAGCAUAGCACAUUGCAAAUUAAGAAGUUACUUCAAGACAAACGAUGAGUGUAUUUAUUACAUGAAAGUGGCAAUCCAAGAAAAGUGUGCAUCUCUGCCUCAGACCCCCCCGAGAUCGAAAUAGUGCACAGUAUCACUGUGAAAAUAGCUUACGACAGUGUUUCCAAAGUGUACCUAGAAUGCCUGUUGAAGAGCAAGUUCAUAAAGCUACAGAAGCGUUGGAGAAAUGCUGUGGAAAAGAUAAAAGAGGAUGUUCAAUAUUUUAAUGAUGCAUUCUCUGAACUGAAUGGCACUGCUGUCCAGCAGAAGCAGCUUCUUAAAAGAAUGAGUGAAGUUUUGCAUUGCAAUGAUGUAGAAGGACUGAAGAUUAUCUGUAGUCAGUUGUUCAGAGACUUCCCUAAGGACAGUGAGCAGUAUGUACCUGAUCUGCUGCGGUGGAGGAGAGUGUUAUCAGAGCGACAGGUGAGGGAAGUGCUGGACGUGAGCCGGGACCUCAGCCUCAAUCCAAAGCCUAGAUGUUUCACCUGUCCCCCUUUGAUGGGACUUUCUUGUUUUGGUGGUAAAUAGUUUAAGUGAGAACAGCAUGGUAAAAACUGACUAGAUAUCCUUGUUUAGUAGUGUUUUGGGGUUUCAAAUCUUUUUUGAACAUUACUUUUUUGGUGUGUAUUCCCAAGAUAAUCAUUUUGAUAUUUUAUUGAGGUCUGGUACAAUGAUGGAAAUAAAAAAAUAAAGAGAAACAAAGCAGACAAAAAGAGGCUAAUAUGACUGGAAAAGAAACCACUGAACUAUUGAAUUUAUUGAAAGAAAAAAAAUGUUAAUUUGUUUAUUAAAUUAGUUUAAAAACAUUAAAACAUAUAUAUAUAAGUUCAGUACAAGACAAGACAAAGAUCCUUUGUGAUCUCAGAUAUUUGCCCUAUGCAUGGAGCCCUUAGCACAAAGCAUAUGAUUUAAUUCUACAAUAAAAGGUCUUAGAGUUGAAGAUGACAAACGUACGCUUGCAUUGUAUGCAGAGAUCCAGAUAUACACGAUGUUUUCAAGGGUUGGUAAAGGGCUUAUAAGAUAUUAAGAUCUAAUGUAUGCUGAGAUUGAGACCUUUAAGAGCAUAGUGAAAAAAAUAUUCAUUGUCUAGGAAAUUAUUUUCAAAUAAGAAGUUAUUUAAAAGAUUAAAUUAAAAUUCUCUUUAAAAAAAAAGAUUAUUCACCUUUUGUUGUGGUUUAUAAUCAAAGCUAUAGCCUAAAUCCUAAUAAAGUAUUUAAAGA